rnacentral:lncRNA from 1 species
AAUCACGUCUUUCUUUACUGCCAGAACAUUCAUGACCCCCACGUUUCGAAUGUAUGUUUAAUAAAGUUUUCGUAUAAAAAUGCUAGAAAAUAAUUAAGUUUUUGUUAACAUUUACAUGUACUAACUAAUAAAUAAUCAAUCAUGCAUUGCCCACUUUACAUUUUCGCAAAUAACAAUGAACUCUCGAACUCGAAGCUAAAAAGA